AACGAACGCUGGCGGCAGGCCUAACACAUGCAAGUCGAACGCCCUGGCAACAGGGAGUGGCAGACGGGUGAGUAACGCGUGGGAACGUGCCUUUCGGUUCGGAAUAACCCAGGGAAACUUGGAUUAAUACCGGAUACGUGCGAGAGCAGAAAGAUUUAUCGCCGAAAGAUCGGCCCGCGUCCGAUUAGCUAGUUGGUGAGGUAAAGGCUCACCAAGGCGACGAUCGGUAGCUGGUCUGAGAGGAUGAUCAGCCACACUGGGACUGAGACACGGCCCAGACUCCUACGGGAGGCAGCAGUGGGGAAUAUUGGACAAUGGGCGCAAGCCUGAUCCAGCCAUGCCGCGUGAGUGAUGAAGGCCCUAGGGUUNUAAAGCUCUUUCGCCAGGGACGAUAAUGACGGUACCUGGAUAAGAAGCCCCGGCUAGCUUCGUGCCAGCAGCCGCAGU
rnacentral:rRNA from 1 species